rnacentral:rRNA from 1 species
AUGAGCUGUGGAUAGCGGAGAAAUUCCAAUCGAACUCGGAGAUAGCUGGUUCUCCCCGAAAUAGCUUUAGGGCUAGCCUCGAUUUAGAUUACCGGGGGUAGAGCACUGAAUGGGCUAGGGGGCCACAAAGCUUACCGAACCCUAUCAAACUUCGAAUACCGGAUAAUUGAUGAUCGGGAGUCAGACAGUGUGAGAUAAGUUUCAUUGUCGAAAGGGAAACAGCCCAGAUCUACGACUAAGGUCCCAAAGUUCAAGUUAAGUGGAAAAGGAUGUGCAAUUGCGUAGACAACCAGGAUGUUGGCUUAGUAGCAGCCAUUCAUUCAAAGAGUGCGUAAUAGCUCACUGGUCGAGUGAUUGUGCGCCGAAAAUGUAACGGGGCUAAACUUGACACCGAAGUCUAGGCAGAAGGAAACUUCUGGGUAGGGGAGCAACGUGUACGGGCAGAAGCAGAAGCGGAAGCGACUGUGGACUGUACAGGAGAGAGAAUGCCGGCAUGAGUAGCGAGAGCAAAGUGAGAAUCUUUGCCGUCGAAAGCCUAAGGUUUCCUGAGGAAGGCUCGUCCUCUCAGGGUAAGUCGGGACCUAAGCCGAGGACAAUAGUCGUAGGCGAUGGACAAUCGGUUAAUAUUCCGAUACCGCCGAGCAACCGGAUGCAGUGACACAGAAGGAUAGGCAGAGCGUGGCGAUGGUAGACCACGUCCAAGCAGUGAGGCUGUUGUGUAGUGAAGUACGCACAACGGAAGGCUGGGCUGUGAUGGGGAACGAUUACGAUCGGUAAGCUGCUGAAUUCACGCUGGCGAGAAAAGCUGCUACGAAGCGAAGGCGCCCGUACCGCAAACCGACACAGGUAGGCGAGGAGAGAAUCCUAAGACGAGCGGGAGAACCCUUGUUAAGGAACUCGGCAAAAUGACUCCGUAACUUAGGGAGAAGGAGUGCCCAGGAAUGGGCCGCAGAGAAUAGACCCAAGCGACUGUUUACCAAAAACACAGGUCUGUGCGAAGUAGAGAUACGACGUAUACGGGCUGACACCUGCCCAGUGCCGGAAGGUUAAGGGGAAAUGUUAGGGCAACCGAAGCAUGGAACUUAAGCCCCGGUGAACGGCGGCCGUAACUAUAACGGUCCUAAGGUAGCGAAAUUCCUUGUCGGGUAAG